rnacentral:rRNA from 1 species
UACGGAAGGCAGCAGUGGGGAAUAUUGCACAAUGGGCGCAAGCCUGAUGCAGCCAUGCCGCGUGUAUGAAGAAGGCCUUCGGGUUGUAAAGUACUUUCAGUCGUGAGGAAGGUGUUAAGGUUAAUAACCUUAGCAAUUGACGUUAGCGACAGAAGAAGCACCGGCUAACUCCGUGCCAGCAGCCGCGGUAAUACGGAGGGUGCGAGCGUUAAUCGGAAUUACUGGGCGUAAAGGGCACGCAGGCGGUUAAUUAAGUUGGAUGUGAAAUCCCCGGGCUUAACCCUGGGAAUGGCAUUCAAGACUGGUUAGCUAGAGUCUUGUAGAGGGGGUAGAAUUCCAUGUGUAGCGGUGAAAUGCGUAGAGAUGUGGAGGAAUACCGGUGGCGAAGGCGGCCCCGUGGACAAAGACUGACGCUCAUGUGCGAAAGCGUGGGGAGCAAACAGGAUUAGAUACC